UACGAAGGGGGCUAGCGUUGCUCGGAAUCACUGGGCGUAAAGGGUGCGUAGGCGGGUCUUUAAGUCAGGGGUGAAAUCCUGGAGCUCAACUCCAGAACUGCCUUUGAUACUGAAGAUCUUGAGUUCGGGAGAGGUGAGUGGAAUUCCCAGUGUAGCGGUGAAAUGCGUAGAUAUUGGGAGGAACACCAGUGGCGAAGGCGGCUCACUGGACCGGUACUGACGCUGAUGCGCGAAAGCGUGGGGAGCGAACAGG
rnacentral:rRNA from 1 species